rnacentral:rRNA from 1 species
GACGAACGCUGGCGGCGUGCUUAACACAUGCAAGUCGAACGGAAAGGCCUGCUUUCCCUUGUGGAUUGCGGGUACUCGAGUGGCGAACGGGUGAGUAACACGUGAGUGAUCUGCCCCCAACUUGGGUAUAAGCCUGGGAAACUGGGUCUAAUUCCCGAUAGGACUGCAGGGUGGUGCCUGUGGUGGAAAACGAUUUUCUAGUGGUUGGGGAUGAGCUCGCGGCCUAUCAGCUUGUUGGUGGGGUAAUGGCCUACCAAGGCGGCGACGGGUAGCCGGCCUGAGAGGGUGGACGGCAACAUUGGGACUGAGAUACGGCCCAGACUCCUACGGGAGGCAGCAGUGGGGAAUAUUGCACAAUGGGCGGAAGCCUGAUGCAGCGACGCCGCGUGGGGGAUGGCGGCCUUCGGGUUGUAAACUCCUUUCGACCGCGAGGAAGCCACCUGGUUGGAAGGGUGGUGACGGUAGUGGUAGAAGAAGCACCGGCUAACUACGU